GAUGAACGCUAGCGGCAGGCCUAACACAUGCAAGUCGAGGGGUAGAGGCUUUCGGGCCUUGAGACCGGCGCACGGGUGCGUAACGCGUAUGCAAUCUGCCUUACACUGGGGGAUAGCCCAGAGAAAUUUGGAUUAAUACCCCAUAGUAUUUUUGCCUGGCAUCAGGUGAUUAUUAAAGUUUUUCGGUGUAAGAUGAGCAU
rnacentral:rRNA from 1 species